AUGGUAUGGGAACGAAUUAUAAGUUAUUUUGAACACAUCAACCAUUGUUCUGGAUUGUCUUUGCAACCCCCUUAUAGUUUUGUUAUGACUUUUUCUUUACCUAUAAUUAGUAAUGAAUAUGUUGUCCUUCCACCCUUUAGGUGUUACUAUCUGGAGGUGACUAGCAAAUUCAUCAUAGUUGCACUUGGCAGGAGGCAAUAUUCCACUGCCUCGAGCACACACAAAUGGUUAAUGCGCUCAAGUGGCUGUUCGUCUCUGGGAAAGAAGAAAUGUCCGAAGAAGGACCAAUGCGGGUUAUUACAUGAUUUGGAUGUGCAAUGUUUUUGA
rnacentral:rRNA from 1 species